rnacentral:lncRNA from 1 species
UUUUUUCAUUUCAGCUUUGAUGGCAUUGGCCAGCUGAUCAUGAGCUUCUCCCCAUGCAUUUUCCAUAGCAGCUGACCACAUCUCAGGUACUGCUUCUUUUAUGGUCUCCAAAAGUGCUUGCUUUGUUACCUUAACAUAUCAAAACAAUGAAAAAAAAUUAGUAUAUCAUUGAUCUUCUAGAAAAGUACGGUCUAUUAUAGACAACAGCACUCACAAUAUUGCAAGAUUAAACUCAUGUAUAUAGAGUGCUUAAAUACAUGUAGUAGUUUUCAUUUUAUUUUUCUCCUGAUAUAUUGUUUUCUACAGUCCUCUGUAGUACCGAUAUUUCUGAUUGAAGAUGUAUCUGAUAUCCGAACAUGUUUGUGUCUAGUGUCUGACAUGAUGCCAGCACAUGUGAUUGCAUUUAAUUAUGACAUUUAUAAAUUAACACGAAUAUAUUAGUGUUGUGUCUGAUGUCUGUGUCUACCGACCGGUGCUUCAUAGCUCAUAAUGAAAGUUAAAUUAGUACUAUUAUACUAUUACCUCAAAAUGCUCUUCUUUUACACCUGUUUUGAAAUGAGUGGCACCUAACUUCUUCAAGUUUGAUUCUCUAACAGUAACUUUACCAGCCUUCCGCAGUUGAACUGCUGAUUCACAUGUCUACAAAAUAACAAAAUUAAGCCAAUUAAAUUGAUAUAUGAAGAGAAUAAUAGUAAUUCAUCAUUAAUAAAUUAAUGGAUUUUAAUUGUUAAAUAACCAUAUAAGCUUACCAUGAUAAACACAGACAUGGCAUGAGGCUUGAGCUUAGGAUUUUGCUCCAAAGGAACAUUUGAAUCUUUUAAGAAUGAGAACAAUUGCUUAGCUGGUGGAGCAAUCUCCAGUAUUCUAACAUGUCAUAAUCAAUUGUUCAAAAAAUAAUGUUAUGUUAGUAAACAAUGUUAUCUAUCUUAUCAGCUUAAAAUAUUUUUUUAUUUUUUUUUUAACCAGGUAUCUUCUACGCGCAACUGCUGAGAGUAAUCUCUCGAGUCUUGUGAGACUCAAAUGAGCAGCAAACUCUCCCUAAAAGUUUUAACGUUGCUGCAUGCCUGAUUCAUGAAUCAAAUUCAGGACCUUAGUUAACCUAGAAGAGACCCGCGUCAUCUCAUCUAUUUUUAUUUUUUUCAAAAAACAAACCAAGAGUUGAAAAAGUGAAUACUAAUAAAUGAAAUGAAUGACUUACUUCUUGAAAAACUUGAGACUGAGAUCUCCAGAGUUGUUCUUGAUUGCAUUCCAUGACUUCACCACAAGAGCUUCUUGCUCCUCUGUGAAACAAUUUCCCUUGUUUUCUUCCAUGUUAACAGCUACUAAUUAAAGGUAACAGUGUCAAUGGAUAGUUAGGAAAUUGUUGAUUUUGUAGCUUCUGCUAUGAUACAGUUUAUAUGGUAUAGUGAGAUUCAUUCAAUGAUUGAAUAUUAAGUUGGCUCUUGGUGUCAAUGGGGAGUUAUUUUACACUUUGGCAGCUUGUGCUUUUUCCAAAAAAUUAGGAGUAUUAUAUUUGUUUAAAUUUUAAAACAAUUUUAUGUUUUUGUUUUCACCACCAGUAUCCGGUCCACUGGACCGCUUAAUCUGGUUCGGGGGUCAAUUAUGACAUCAAGUGGUUCUAGCCCCUCACGGUUGUAGUUGUGAAUAAUUAGUCUCACGUCUUAUUAUGUUAAAAUAAGGUUUUAAUUUUAACAUAAAAUUUCUAUGAAAAGCAGGAGAGAAAACAACACAAAGUAAAGAACAAGAAAACAAAUAAAACUAUAAAACAAAUUCCAAUAUACACAGUGAGGCCUGCAGAUCACUCAUUUCUUUAAAAACCACAAACUCCAAAUUUACCAAUUCUAACACUUUUUUCUCGCAUCCGAAUGGAUAAAUCCGGACAAAACUAUAUUUUUUUUAAGGAUGGAUAAUCCACUUCGGAAUAAUUUUUCAGAAUAAUCGCUCCUCUCCCCUUCAUGAAUUGCUUAGAAUCCCCCAUCCACCGAAAGAUAUAUCUUCCGGUAGGUAAAUUCUGCCGAAAGAUAUCUUCUAGUAUCAAGUCGACCUUUUGGCUUUAGUAGUUUCUAAGACUUUCAAUUUCAUUUUAGUUUUUUCUUUUUGAAAUUUCAUUUUAGUUUUUUGUAGAUAUAUUCUGUUAUUAUGUUGUUCUGCUUUUUAUUUUUAUUCAUCCCCCCAAAUCAUAAUUUGAUUAUUGCUUUGGAAUUCCAACUAAACUCAUUUUGAAGUAUAAAGAGUUGUAUUUACUCCCUAUUUCAUAUGGACUAAAAAUAAAAUUAAUGUCACAAAGCUAUCAGAACAUUAAACUAUAUUUAACUUAAAAUUACUUAUCAAAUUGGCAUUGGAAUGCUGAUCAUGAGCGUCUUUCAUUUCAGCUUUGAUGGCAUUGGCUAGUUGAUAAUGAGCUUCUCCCCAAGCAUUUCUCAUAGCAGCUGACCACAUCUCAGGCACUGCUUCUUCUAUUGUCUCCAAAAGUGCUUGCUUUGUUACCUUAACAAAAACAAAAAUAAUUGUCAAAUAAUACAUUAGUCUUCUACAAAAGUAGUCUUUAUAAAAUUAUAAUCCAACAAAAGUAAAAAAGCAUUCACAAUUCAACAUUAUUGUUUCUCAAUUUUCCCUCAUUAUACAUAUUUUUUGUAAGAGAGC